rnacentral:lncRNA from 1 species
UUUGUGUGCGGGAUAUUAUGUCGGGGCUAUUUUGUCGGAGCUUUUUCGACGGGGUACCCAAUUAGAGACAGUGGUGGAUCUAGACAUUUGCUUGGGUGAGAGCCCAUUCCAAUGAAACACCAACCUUUUGGUUGGUGUGUCAUUAGAAUUUUCCUAACCAGCGGGUUUAUUGGGGGGUUGAAUUUGUCUGUCCGUGAUUUAAGUUUUAUGUCAGAUAAUAUAUUUUUAUGUUCCAACAAUUUUUUUCUGUAAUUUUGGAUCUUGGGGAGGGGGACGAAUUCCUGCCCUCCUCCGUAGUUCCUCCAUAGAAACUGGCGGCUCUGUGUAGCAUACGCCCGAACACAUUUUACCUUUUACUAGUAAAAACAAAUUUUUAUAUUGUUUUAAAUCCUUGUAAUUUUGUUUUAUUUUAUAACAGAUUUCAUUAUUUAGAAACGUACUUCAUUAAAAACUUUGUCUUGUCUAAGCGUCCUGUCUAGUGGAUACGUUGGUGCUCGGCGCUCACCCUCUUCAAUUCAAUCGGUUUUCGGUUUAUAUGUAGGGGAGCGCAUGCCGUAUCCAGUUGAGCAGCUACACGGAGCAUCAACGUGUGGAUACUUACCUUAUAAUACGUAUCCAUACGUUCGUACUCCGUGCUCCGUCCGUGUAGGUGCUCAAAUGGAUACGGCAUGCCCUCCCCUAUAUAUAAACCUUAAACCGGUUGAAUCGAAGAGGGUGAGCGGCGAGCACCAACCUAUCCACUAUGUGGAGCUGUUACACGGAGCAUCAACGUAUGGAUACGUAGCUGAUGUUGGGGUUACAAUGCACUUCAUCAUAAAAAUAAUCUUUAAAAUAAUAAAAACAUUUCAAACUUAUGUAGGUGUAGGUGUAACUUUUAUGUUGUCAGAACCUGUUUGAUAGCGUUCAGCAUAAUCUUACAUUGCCUUUUAUUUAAGCAGUUAGUUAGCGUUUUGUCUUGUAGUUACAAUGAGUGAAAGCAGUGAAGUCGAAAGUACUAAAGGAAAGUACACAAUAGGAUUUGUGCAUAUGUUACGUGAUUUUCCAAUACUUUUGUCCAAGUCACAAAAACCAGCUAUCCGAGAAUCAAAAUCAAAAGCACUUGAAGCGAUGAGAAAACAAUGGGAGCUUAAUUUCGGUUCUAAAAUAACAACAAAUCAAAUCAACAAAAAAAUUAAUAACAUGAAAUUCAAACUCAAGAAAAAGACUGAUAUUAAUACAACUGAUAAUAAGAAAAUUGUUCUGUUGGACUGAGAAAAGAUUUUGUUGGAAAUCAUGGAAGGCGAUACAAAACCAGUACUUACAAAGAUUCCAGGAGCAUGGUCUGUCGGUACAGAACAAACACACCCAAGAUGGUAGUCAUGCAGCUAAAAUCCGCAGACCUUCUGUUUCUACGUGUACCACAAAUGAUGAUACUGCUAAUGAAGUAUAUCCACCUAAAAAAAAAGAAACCCAAUAAAAUUAGCCCCCUUGAAAAAUACGAGACAUACUAUACCAAACAACUUUCAAAUACGGAACUACAAAGGCUAGUUUUGCUAAAAAAAUUAAGAGCAAAUGAAGGAACAAAAGCUAAAGAGAGAGCUAAAUCCUGAUUUAAGUGAGCUUCAACUAACAAUGGUAUAACCGCGGACAGUGAAAACGGAAAAACGUACAUUAAUAUGUAAUAUUUAAAUAUGUGUUAAACUGUUGUAUAAUAAAACAUAUUAGUUAUAAGAAAAAAUGUUAACGAUAAAAAUUAUAAAUGCGUUGUUUUGUA